AAUCAGUGUGUGUGUUAGUGGAAGCGUCUGGAAAGGCGUGCGAUACAGGGUGACAGCCCCGUACACAAAAAUGCACAUAUUGUGAGCUCGAUGAGUAGGGCGGGACACGUGGUAUCCUGUCUGAAUAUGGGGGGACCAUCCUCCAAGGCUAAAUACUCCUGACUGACCGAUAGUGAACCAGUACCGUGAGGGAAAGGCGAAAAGAACCCCGGCGAGGGGAGUGAAAAAGAACCUGAAACCGUGUACGUACAAGCAGUGGGAGCCUCUUAAUGGGGUGACUGCGUACCUUUUGUAUAAUGGGUCAGCGACUUAUAUUCUGUAGCAAGGUUAACCGAAUAGGGGAGCCGAAGGGAAACCGAGUCUUAACUGGGCGUUAAGUUGCAGGGUAUAGACCCGAAACCCGGUGAUCUAGCCAUGGGCAGGUUGAAGGUUGGGUAACACUAACUGGAGGACCGAACCGACUAAUGUUGAAAAAUUAGCGGAUGACUUGUGGCUGGGGGUGAAAGGCCAAUCAAACCGGGAGAUAGCUGGUUCUCCCCGAAAGCUAUUUAGGUAGCGCCUCGUGAAUUCAUCUCCGGGGGUAGAGCACUGUUUCGGCAAGGGGGUCAUCCCGACUUACCAACCCGAUGCAAACUGCGAAUACCGGAGAAUGUUAUCACGGGAGACACACGGCGGGUGCUAACGUCCGUCGUGAAGAGGGAAACAACCCAGACCGCCAGCUAAGGUCCCAAAGUCAUGGUUAAGUGGGAAACGAUGUGGGAAGGCCCAGACAGCCAGGAUGUUGGCUUAGAAGCAGCCAUCAUUUAAAGAAAGCGUAAUAGCUCACUGGUCGAGUCGGCCUGCGCGGAAGAUGUAACGGGGCUAAACCAUG
rnacentral:rRNA from 1 species